AAAAAAAUUGCUCUGCACUAGCAGAACACUACAUAAACCUAAUUACACAACCUCAUUUACAAUGGUGAGGCUACUCUGAUACAUAGCUUGUUGUCAUAUCACUUGGGCUAUCUAUAUAGGGAGAUGAACCUACAGACCUAUUCCUAUUUAUCAGACGCAUGGGUUUAAUAAGCUCAUCGAGAUCAUCCAGUUGCAUCUCUGCUGGACCACUCUCGCAAAGUGGCUUCUCCUCGCUUCUCUGAUCAAUAGUCUGUUCCUCUUCGUCACUACCAUCUAGGCUAAUAAAAUCGACAAACUUCCCUUCAAGGAAUAUGUCAUUAUUCCCCUUGACAGAAGGCUUCUCUGAUCCAGCUGUUAUGCACUCAGAAAUAUGAAUGUGCGGAGAGCCAAAGUAACGACCUCGACCAUUCUUUAACUCGCUCAAAGCUUUCCUUUUCGCUCCCUUCCUUCUGUUCUUCGGAUGGUGAAGCUUGCAGUUUGAACCUUUGGGACAGUUGCCAGUUGCUUCAAAAACGGGGCAGACAUAGGUGUGUUU
rnacentral:misc_RNA from 1 species